UCUGCAGCUAGAGAAAAACAAAAAGAGUUGAGGGACAUCGGUGGGGAACACUGGAAUGAGCAGAAUUCUGUUUACAUUCCAUAUAUGACAAUUUAUUUUUUAAAUAAAAGCAAAAAGCCAAAGUCUCAUCAGAUGCUUUGGCCAUGAGCAACUGAAAUUCUGCAGCCAAUUGUGCUCCCUGAGGAUCACAAGGGUGUUACAGAAAGGGUAAGAACUAGUUCUGGCUUUUCAGAGGAACAAGACACUACUGCAGUGGAGCCCCAAAAGUGAAGCAAUAAAGAAAGUGUCCAUUAUCAAAACUGUGACCCUUAAACAUUAGGUAAACCCAAAAUCAAUACUGGAGCUCACUGUGCCCUCUUUGACCUCUGGGCUGUUACUCAUUAGAUGGGUGGCUGGAAACACCCCCAGACAUGGGGCUGGAGGAGAAAUUCCAGAUUUUGUUCUUGCAUGGUUGCUCUUCCUGCCCUUCUGAUUCUCCCUUUAAAUUCUGGGUGAAUUGAGCCAGACCUGCAUUAGAAGCAGGUCACAAACCAUGACAGGUCAGUGUUUUUAAUGCUCCAGAGGCCCUUCAGCAGGCCCACUGCUCCCACAGCCACGUCCCUGCAGGGACUGUCCUUCCUCUGGUCUCAUUUCAGCACCACAACAACUCCAGAAGCUUCUCCAGCCAGAGCCCUGUGCUGUACCUCUGCCUGCCUGCUCACAAAGCACAGCCCCUCCUUGUUCUCCAGCUUCACUGUGGAUGGAUCUGCAAACACAGAGGAGUCUGGGUUAGUGCUGCACUCAGCCGUGCAGGGUCUGCUGUCUGUCCUGGCCCCCAGGGGAGCUCUGACUCUGACCCUCACUCAUGGAGAAAGUUUCCCAGACUUCAAGAUAGACUGGAAUCCACAAAAGUGUGAAAUGGAUUAUAGACAGCAGUGUAGGCGCAUCACUGGGUGAGAAAUUUACCAAGUAAAAAUUCUCACCAAGUAUUUGUGAAAUAAAUACUCACAAAUUGAGUUGAGUAAAUUUGUGAGUUGUGAGUAAAAAGCCCAUAAAUGUGCCGAGCACAAAACAUUCAGUUACAACCCCUUUUCUCAUCCCUUCCCAUGGGAUAGGGGGUGUUGGUGUGUUCUGGGAGCAGGGAAUGCCACCAGCUCCUCUUGGGAUUUUAAUUCACACAGUUGCAAUAUUCCUACAGACAGGGUUUAUCCUGCAUGGAAACUGAAGGAGAAGGAUGCAGCUGCUUCUGGGGGAUCACAGCUGGAGCAUGAAAUGGAAGGAAAGGUGUUUUACAGGAGCUGAUCUGAGCCAGGAAUGGUGAAAGCAGAGCUCGUUACAAGAGUCAACAGUUUCACUGCUCUUUUGCAAUGAAAAUUGGAGGAGAGUCAGGAUUUCAGGAGGCCAGCCUGAGGUGGCAUGGCACAUUGCACUCCAAGCUUUGAACAAAAGGGAGAAAGGUCUCAAAAUGGAUUCUGCCUUUAGUGCUGCAGGUAGAUCAGAGAAUCGUGGAAUCCCAGAAUGGUUUGAAUGAAACAAUGGAAUCCCAGAAUGGUUUGAAUGAAAUAAUGGAAUCCCAGAAUGGUUUGAAUAAAUCAUGGAGUCCCAGAAUCGUUUGAAUAAAAUCAUGGAAUCCUAGAAUGGUUUGAAUGAAAUAAUGGAAUCCCAGAGUGGUUUGAAUGAAACAAUGGAAUCCCAGAAUGGUUUGAAUAAAACAAUGGAAUCCCAGAAUGAUUUCAAUGAAAUCAUGGAAUCCCAGAAUGGUUUGAAUGAAAUCAUGGAGUCCCAGAAUGGUUUGAAUAAAAUCAUGGAGUCCCAGACUGGAAGGAACUUUAGUGCUCAUGCAGCUCCAUCCCCUGGAAUUGCACCUCCCAUGGGCAUGGACACCUUCCACUACCCCAAAUUGCUCCAAGCCUCAUCCAAGCUGGCCUUGGACACUUCCAGGGGUGGGGCAGCCACAGCUUCUCUGGGCACCCUGUGCCAGGGCAUCACCACCCUCACAGGGAAUGAAUUCUUCCCAAUAUCCCAUCCAACCCUGCCCUCUGGCAGUGGGAAUCCAUUCCCCCUUGUCCUGGCACUCCAGGGUGUCUCCACCUUCCUUGUCAGCUCCCCUCAUGUACAGGGAGGCCACAGGCAGCUCAUGGAUUGGAUGAGCUGCUCUGCUCUGUAUUCUCUGGAAAGUUUCCAUGAUGACUUUGGAAACUGGAGUGUCAGGAUUUACCUACAGAACUAAAGGGAUCAGGCACUGCGUGUGAGCAACAUUCAGAGAAAGAAAGAACAAAAGAAAAAAAGGAGCAGGGUUGGCUCUUUGUGGUGCCUCUGGAUUUAUCUGGCACAGAGAACAAGAACCCAGAAGCAGAGGGGCUCUGCUGUGGGGCUCUUGGGUCACUUGCAGAGCUGCUUUGGCACCAGCUGUGCCCUGAACAGCAUUGUCCAGGCUCGUGGGGGACAGAAGGUGACACUCCUUACUCCCAAUGCAGUUGAUUAUGGCCUCCUCAGCCUUGUGGAUGCCCAGCAGGAACUUGUGCAGGUCGGGGCGGAGCCUUCGGCCUCGGUGGUAAAACACCAGUGCAAACUCAAAGUCCCCCAUGGCAUACAGGCUCUCUGCUUUCUGGUAAAGCCCCUAAAAUGACAUUUGGGGGAAGAAAUUGAUAAAACGAGGGAAAGUUUUGAUGGAUCUCAAGUAACUCCUGUGUGAGAGCCCAGGGCUGUAACAGCUUGCUGUCACUGACAUAUUGUGUGAAAAAUCCUUUGGUUAGGAUUUUUCUCCUGAGAAGCUGGAGGCCUCAGGAACAAAAUGUAAACAAUGGUUAUCUGCUGCUGUGGAAUGCAACAGGUGCAUCUUUAAUUAGCCCAUGUUGGUUGUUUCUAAUUAAUGGCCAAUCACAGUCAGCUGGCUCGGACUCUCUGCUCAGUCACAAGAUUUUAUUAUCAUUCCUUCCUAUUCCUUUCAAGCCUUCUGAUGAAAUAAUUUCUUCUUUUCUUUUAGUAUAGUUUUAGUAUAUAAUUAUCUUUUAAUAUAUCAUAAAAUAAUAAAUCAGCCUUCUGAAACAUGGA